AAAGAGAGAAAUUACAGUGAAGAACUAUAUGUGAUUAUUAAAUAUAAGAUGAUUGUUUUACAAAGAAUGAACACAUAGAUAAAUCAGUGAAAAUAACAUUAAUAGCUGGUAAACGCAAGGAAUAUUUUUUACAAAAAGUGAAAAGAAGCUUAUAGAAGAGAUGAAUGAUAUGUUUAAUGGAAAUGCUCUCUCAUCAAAAAGUCCUCUGCCUGCUUUCAUCAAUCCUCCAUUGUUGAAGCUUCGUUCUCCGAUUCCGUUUGCUCUCUCAGGACCGGAAUCGGGUUUAGUUGUUUUGAAUCAUCUCUUUUUGGGUUUCAAUCGGUUUAGAUCUUCAUAUUAUGUUCUCAUUUUUCUCUACGGUCGGAUUUCCAGAUUUUAGAUCUGAUCCUAACAGGAGGAAUGAGAGUUUCUAUAUGUUGAUCUUUGUGUGUGUUAUCGAUCGAUCUAGUCAAAAUGGGUUGGUCUCGUCUUGAACCUGAUUUUGUUUUGAAUGAUUUGCAUGUUGGCUUUAAACUCUCUUUGGCUCAUUUUGGGUCUUGAUCUUCAGCCUUCUUGAUAUCUUGAGCAAGGUUUGAACCAGUUUAUGAGUUGUCUCGCUCCUUGUCAUUUACUAAAAGAUUUGAUCGAGUUCUUCUAUCCCGUCAAGCUUCAAUAUGGCGUCUCUCGGGUCUAUCGCCACCGCCAUCGUACUUAUGACCUUGAGUUGUUCUGUCUCCUGGAUCUUGAAGCUUUGGUCUCUAAAUCGCAUAGGCUAUUCUCUAUAGGAGGAGUCGCAAGUCAGAGAUUUUAGCUAUGGAUAGCAUCCUCGCGUUGUCUGGUUCAAAAGUGCUCAGUUGAAGUCUUCAUGCUUUAUUAUUCUCUGGUUUGUAAAAGUUCUUUUGUUUUGUUCCUCACUUCUUCUAGUUUAGAUCGGUUUAGUAAUAAGGUUUGAUUAAUGUUCUUGGUUUUAGUCUUCCAGUGUUUAGGACUAAAUCUCUCCAAUCUUGGAGCUUUCGUCUCCAGAGGUUUGUAAGACAUGCCGGCUUAUGUAUUCCAAAAUGAAUUCUCCCCCUUGUAAUCUUCUUUGUUAGUAUAAUUAGUGUUUAAGAAAAAAAGAAGAGAUGAAUUGAUUGUUUUACAAAGAAGGAACACAGAUAAAUCAGUGAAUAACACGUGAAAAUAACAAUAACUAGCCUUUGGGACGC
rnacentral:lncRNA from 1 species